GUCUAUGGCCACACCACCCAGAAGAUGUCCAAUCUCUUCUGAUAUUGGAAGCUAAGCAGGGUCGGGUCUGGUUGGUACUUGGACAGGAGAAUGUGGUGAUACAUACA
rnacentral:rRNA from 1 species